AACUAUUGUGUCCGUGCAAAGUGUACCUCAAAUUUGAUGCAAAUGAGCUCAAUCGAAAUGCUUUAUGGGGCGUAAAAAACCCAGGAAAUAUUUAAUACAUUCUGCUUUGUGGCCAUCUCUCAGUCAGUUUUUGAUCCGGUUAGCAGCAAGUCUUUGAGACUGAAGCGUCGAAAUACCCAACAACCUAGCAGAUUGAAUACAAAUUAAACUAUGAAGUCAUUGUCGCUAGUUCUCGUUCUUCUCCUGAUCCUGUUGGUCACAACUGAAGCUAGACACUAUGGUCAGUACGAUGACGAUGAACAAGAAAUGAUGUUGGAAUUGAAAGAUACUCCUGAGGAAUGUAAAGAUCUCAUUAAGCAAAAAAUCUGCUCCAAACCAGGAACGUGUAAAAACUUUCAUGCCUACUUCUGCAGGAAGACAUGUAAGCUGUGCUGAAGAUGUGUACCAAUGUGGAUUCUUCUUCCUUCGAUUGCCAUUUACAUAGGAUCUAAUAAUCAGAAUGAUACAUGCGCAUGUCUGUUACACUACUCAAAAUGUAUCCUUGAGUAUGAAUGAACAAAAUUCAUUAAACUGAUCGGUAUUGAAA